UACGUAGGGUGCAAGCGUUAAUCGGAAUUACUGGGCGUAAAGCGUGCGCAGGCGGUUUUGUAAGUCUGUCGUGAAAUCCCCGGGCUUAACCUGGGAAUUGCGAUGGAGACUGCAAGGCUGGAGUCUGGCAGAGGGGGGGUAGAAUUCCACGUGUAGCAGUGAAAUGCGUAGAGAUGUGGAGGAACACCGAUGGCGAAGGCAGCCCCCCUGGGCUAACACUGACGCUCAUGCACGAAAGCGUGGGAGCAAACAGGAUUAGAGUACC
rnacentral:rRNA from 1 species